ACGGCUCAGUAACACGUGGACAACCUACCCAAAGGUCUGGGAUAACUCCGGGAAACUGGGGAUAAUACCGGAUAGGUCAAGAGUACUGGAAGGGUUUUUUGAUUGAAAGCUCUGGCGCCUUUGGAUGGGUCUGCGGCUGAUUAGGUUGACGCCGGUGUAAAGUACCGGCGUGCCGAUUAUCAGUACGGGUUGUGGGAGCAAGAGCCCGGAGAUGGAUUCUGAGACACGAAUCCAGGCCCUACGGGGCGCAGCAGCGCGAAAACUCUACAAUGCAGGCAACUGCGAUAGGGGAACAUCGAGUGGCAUCUACAUUAGGUGUCUGUCCAGCUGUCUAAAAAACGGCUGUUAGCAAGGGCCGGGCAAGACCGGUGCCAGCCGCCGCGGUAAUACCGGCGGCUCGAGUGGUGGCCGAUAUUAUUGAGUCUAAAGGGUCCGUAGCCGGCUUUGCAAGUCUUGUGGGAAAUCCAGCGGCUUAACCGUUGGGCGUCUGCGGGAUACUACAUUGCUUGGGACUGGGAGAGGUAGGAGGUACUCAGGGGGUAGGAGUGAAAUCCUGUAAUCCUCUGGGGACCACCGGUGGCGAAGGCGUCCUACCAGAACAGGUCCGACGGUGAGGGACGAAAGCUAGGGGCACGAACCGGAUUAGAUACCCGGGUAGUCCUAGCCGUAAACGAUGCCCGCUAGGUGUCACGGCAGUCGUGAACUGCCGUGGUGCCGUAGGGAAGCCGUGAAGCGGGCCACUUGGGAAGUACGACCGCAAGGUUGAAACUUAAAGGAAUUGGCGGGGGAGCAC
rnacentral:rRNA from 1 species